rnacentral:piRNA from 1 species
UUUGCAAAAGACCAAAAAGCG